CACACGAGUUUGAUCAUGGCUCAGGAUGAACGCUAGCGGCAGGCUUAACACAUGCAAGUCGAGGGGCAGCGCGAUGUAGCAAUACAUUGGCGGCGACCGGCGCACGGGUGCGUAACACGUAUGGAACUUACCCUUUACUGGGAGAUAGCCCGGAGAAAUCCGGAUUAAUAUCCCAUAAUAAACGAGGUGGCAUCACUUUGUUUUGAAAGCUCCGGCGGUAAAGGAUGGCCAUGCGCACGAUUAGCUAGUAGGUGAGGUAACGGCUCACCUAGGCUACGAUCGUUAGGGGGCCUGAGAGGGUUAUCCCCCACACUGGUACUGAGACACGGACCAGACUCCUACGGGAGGCAGCAGUGAGGAAUAUUGGUCAAUGGAGGCAACUCUGAACCAGCCAUGCCGCGUGUAGGAAGAAUGCCCUAUGGGUUGUAAACUACUUCUAUUGGGGAAGAAACCCUUCUACGUGUAGAAGGCUGACGGUACCCAAGGAAUAAGGACCGGCUAACUCCGUG
rnacentral:rRNA from 1 species